GGAGACGGUGAGGCAAGGUGAACCAGUUGUCCUCCCCUUUCAUAGUGCAAUGACUCGACUUGCUCACAAAGAAGAGGAAGAACAAAUCAGUGACAAUAGACAGUGACGAGUGCAGUUGCUGACUCGCUCCGCAGCAGCAUCGAACAGGCGGUUUAAAGAUUUCCACUGCACUACGCUGUGAACGAAUCGCAGUGAGAAUCAUCUUUAAUAAUGGGGUGCAGGUGCCAGGGAGAGAAAUAGUGAGACAGACUCGGUGUGACUUUAGUUUGGAGUUUGGUAACAGUUGCCUCACGAAGGGAGGACCGAUUUAGUCACGUAGUGGGAGUGUUGAAUGUUCAAGCAGGAUUUCCAAAGCUGGUAAGGUACGAUGUCGAAACGAAAUAAAUAAGGAGAGAGAGAGAUAAAAUAAAACAAAAGAGGCUAUGAACGGAACAUCAAGACCGGGGCUCAGCAUCACUACAGUUCACGGAGAUCCUAUGUGAGGAAGAGGCAGCAUCCUACACGUUCCCACUCGUUCUGAAAAUAGAGACCGCAACAUACACAUUACACAAUCUCCAAACCCUGGCAGCUGAUCAGUCUCUCGUGUAUGGAUUUUCGAAGAGGAAGGAGGUGACUUCAGCGCCCGUCGCUCCCUGAAGAAAACGGAGGCUGGAAUCGGAAGACGAAUUGUCAGGCCAGCGCUACUACGUCAACCGAAGCAAGCGAGCGAGAGAACUGAGUUAGGCGUCUCGUUACGCACAAACUAUGGAAUAAACUCGGCAUGCAUGUACAGGUAAAUCCUCAAGGCAGUAGUGAGCAGCGACCACAAAAGGCGUGAGUAAGAAACGUGUUAUUUCGGCGAAAACGGACAGAGGGACAGAGUGGAGGACGCGUUAGUAAUGAAGGGAAAAAUCAAGGGAAAUGAAAUGAUAACA
rnacentral:lncRNA from 1 species